rnacentral:rRNA from 1 species
UAGGGAAUCUUCCACAAUGGCGAAGCCUGAUGGAGCAACGCCGCGUGUGUGAUGAAGGGUUUCGGCUCGUAAAACACUGUUGUAAGAGAAGAAUGACAUUGAGAGUAACUGUUCAAUGUGUGACGGUAUCUUGCCAGAAAGGAACGGCUAAAUACGUGCCAG